rnacentral:rRNA from 1 species
UACGAAGGGGGCUAGCGUUGCUCGGAAUCACUGGGCGUAAAGGGUGCGUAGGCGGGUCUUUAAGUCAGGGGUGAAAUCCUGGAGCUCAACUCCAGAACUGCCCUUGAUACUGAAGAUCUUGAGUUCGGGAGAGGUGAGUGGAACUGCGAGUGUAGAGGUGAAAUUCGUAGAUAUUCGCAAGAACACCAGUGGCGAAGGCGGCUCACUGGCCCGGAACUGACGCUGAGGUGCGAAAGCGUGGGGAGCAAACAGG